AGUGAACGCUGGCGGUAGGCCUAACACAUGCAAGUCGAACGGCAGCACAGUAAGAGCUUGCUCUUACGGGUGGCGAGUGGCGGACGGGUGAGGAAUACAUCGGAAUCUACUUUUUCGUGGGGGAUAACGUAGGGAAACUUACGCUAAUACCGCAUACGACCUACGGGUGAAAGCAGGGGAUCUUCGGACCUUGCGCGAUUGAAUGAGCCGAUGUCGGAUUAGCUAGUUGGCGGGGUAAAGGCCCACCAAGGCGACGAUCCGUAGCUGGUCUGAGAGGAUGAUCAGCCACACUGGAACUGAGACACGGUCCAGACUCCCACGGGAGGCAGCAGUGGGGAAUAUUGGACAAUGGGCGCAAGCCUGAUCCAGCCAUACCGCGUGGGUGAAGAAGGCCUUCGGGUUGUAAAGCCCUUUUGUUGGGAAAGAAAAGCAGCAGGUUAAUACCCCGCUGCUCUGACGGUACCCAAAGAAUAAGCACCGGCUAACUUCGUG
rnacentral:rRNA from 1 species